UACAUAGGGUGCGAGCGUUAAUCGGAAUUACUGGGCGUAAAGCGUGCGCAGGCGGUUUUGUAAGCCAGAUGUGAAAUCCCCGGGCUUAACCUGGGAAUGGCAUUUGGGACUGCAAGGCUGGAGUGUGGCAGAGGAGACUGGAAUUCCUGGUGUAGCAGUGAAAUGCGUAGAUAUCAGGAGGAAUACCGAUGGCGAAGGCAGGUCUCUGGGCUGACACUGACGCUCAUGCACGAAAGCGUGGGGAGCAAACAGG
rnacentral:rRNA from 1 species